rnacentral:rRNA from 1 species
AACGCGAAGAACCUUACCUACUCUUGACAUCCAGAGAACUUAGCAGAGAUGCUUUGGUGCCUUCGGGAACUCUGAGACAGGUGCUGCAUGGCUGUCGUCAGCUCGUGUUGUGAAAUGUUGGGUUAAGUCCCGCAACGAGCGCAACCCUUAUCCUUUGUUGCCAGCGGUUCGGCCGGGAACUCAAAGGAGACUGCCAGUGAUAAACUGGAGGAAGGUGGGGAUGACGUCAAGUCAUCAUGGCCCUUACGAGUAGGGCUACACACGUGCUACAAUGGCGUAUACAAAGAGAAGCGACCUCGCGAGAGCAAGCGGACCUCAUAAAGUAUGUCGUAGUCCGGAUUGGAGUCUGCAACUCGACUCCAUGAAGUCGGAAUCGCUAGUAAUCGUGGAUCAGAAUGCCACGGUGAAUACGUUCCCGGGUCUUGUACACACCG